rnacentral:rRNA from 1 species
GACGAACGCUGGCGGCGUGCUUAACACAUGCAAGUCGAACGGAAAGGCCCUGCUUUUGUGGGGUGCUCGAGUGGCGAACGGGUGAGUAACACGUGAGUAACCUGCCCUUGACUUUGGGAUAACUUCAGGAAACUGGGGCUAAUACCGGAUAGGAGCUCCUGCUGCAUGGUGGGGGUUGGAAAGUUUCGGCGGUUGGGGAUGGACUCGCGGCUUAUCAGCUUGUUGGUGGGGUAGUGGCUUACCAAGGCUUUGACGGGUAGCCGGCCCGAGAGGGUGACCGGCCACAUUGGGACUGAGAUACGGCCCAGACUACUACGGGAGGCAGCAGUGGGGAAUAUUGCACAAUGGGCGGAAGCCUGAUGCAGCAACGCCGCGUGCGGGAUGAAGGCCUUCGGGUUGUAAACCGCUUUCGCCUGUGACGAAGCGUGAGUGACGGUAAUGGGUAAAGAAGCACCGGCUAACUACGUG